UGGCCCAACUUAAUCCAUGUCAAAGUAACUGGGCUCACUGCAAUGGACUGAAUGUUUGUGUCCCUGCAAAACUCACAUGCUGAAACCUAAUCACCAAUGUGAUGAUAUUAGGAGGUGGGGCAUUGGGAGGUGAUUAGGACACGAGGGUAGAGCCCUCUUGAAUGGGAUUAGUGACCUUAUAAAGGAAGCUCCAGAGACCUCCCUCCACCUUCUGUCAAGUAAGGACACAGCAAAAAGACAGCCAUCUGUGAACCAGGAAGGACCUCACCAGACACUGAAUCUGCUAGUGCCUUGAUCUUGGACUUCCCAGAUCUGUGAGAAAUAAAUUUCUGCUGUUUAUAAACCACCUCGUCUAUGGUAUUUUAUUAUAGCAACCUGAAUGGACUAAGAUACUCACUGUCACCUAAUAGUCCAAAUUUCAAACCUAGUCAGGUAUACAGAUUUGAAUGUGACAUACUAUGAUGUCAUAAAUGUUAGAAACCACAUAAAAAUAUUUAAAAUACUGACCAGGCCAAACAAACCAUGUCUGUGAGCUGCAUUCAGCCCAAGUGGCCCUCUGGCCUAUACCACGAAUGGUGGUGAUUAGGCCUGUUAUAAACAGCCAGCCCUGGGUCUGGCGUGGUGGCUCACACCUCCUACUCUUAUUUUCUUCCUCGGCACUUUUACAGCUGACAGACUGCAAGUUCCCC
rnacentral:lncRNA from 1 species